AUUGAACGCUGGCGGCAUGCCUUACACAUGCAAGUCGAACGGUAACAGGUCUUCGGAUGCUGACGAGUGGCGAACGGGUGAGUAAUACAUCGGAACGUGCCCGAUCGUGGGGGAUAACGGAGCGAAAGCUUUGCUAAUACCGCAUACGAUCUACGGAUGAAAGCAGGGGACCGCAAGGCCUUGCGCGAACGGAGCGGCCGAUGGCAGAUUAGGUAGUUGGUGGGAUAAAAGCUUACCAAGCCGACGAUCUGUAGCUGGUCUGAGAGGACGACCAGCCACACUGGGACUGAGACACGGCCCAGACUCCUACGGGAGGCAGCAGUGGGGAAUUUUGGACAAUGGGCGCAAGCCUGAUCCAGCAAUGCCGCGUGCAGGAUGAAGGCCUUCGGGUUGUAAACUGCUUUUGUACGGAACGAAAAGGCUCUGGUUAAUACCUGGGGCUCAUGACGGUACCGUAAGAAUAAGCACCGGCUAACUACGUGCCAGCAGCCGCCGCGGUAA
rnacentral:rRNA from 1 species